GUGAUCUACACUAGAAUCACACUGAUACCGUGUAUUCAGACAGUAAAUACACAGAGUAAACCAACGAAAACACUUCUGAGACUCAUUCUUGUGCGUGAUUGUAUUCUCAAACACUUCAGUGCGGUGAGCAUUCCGAGAAACCAUCCCCAGUCAAUCGAGCCCCACGAUGAUCUCUCACAACGCACUUGCUCAAUUAUGUUGAAUUAAUUGUUCCGUUGAUGUGGAAAUAACACUAAGAAGCUAGUUUAUAUGGACUUAAUUGCUUUGUGAUUGAAGAAUAACGUACUGAUUUUCCACAGGGGGAAACGUGACAAAGGGAAGGCCUUCAGGUAUUGUUUUGGCAAGCUAGGAGAACACAUCUGACAGACAAAAAGGUUUCAUCAAAGACACACAGACAGCUCCUGAAGUAAAGGACCUAGACAGGACCUUCAUAUCAAGGACAUUGACUGUGUGGAUCUCGAGGUGCAGUUAUCCAAAAGUUGCUACCCACGGAAUACCAGGUUUUGAGGGAUCCUGCCAGAGCAGAGAAUCAACAGAUACAUUGAAGAGGAGACUCCGACAUGACCGCCGUCAGCUUGUGUUAUUCACCCCCACCACUUGUAAUACUGUAUGCCUGAAUUGUUGUUUGUUGCUCAGACUUUGUCAACAGAUAUGGUCUUCGACAUGUUACCCUUAGGUGUGGAAACAGAUUGUGACAGUCCAGCAAAAUGAGCCAGACAGAUAGCAACACUGAAAAAGGACAACGUUGUUCCCAUGGCCUCCCACUGUAGAAGACUACAGAUGUUCAGUGAAGCACAAACAGCUGUUCCUCUUGUACUUAAUAAUUUAGUCAGCUGGAUUCUAGGUGCCACUAAGGAGCCAACAGUGGAUAAUUUUGUCAACAUUUCAAUGGCAUACA